rnacentral:sRNA from 1 species
GCCGCGCCUAGGCUAGCUACCAAACGUCGGGUCCCUCCCCGGCUGGCGCGGCUCCCCAAUGAGGG